UCUCUCUCUCUCUCUCUCUCUCUUCUCAUUCUAUAACGGUGAAUUUCUUAAUCUCUAAUGUUUUCUCAUUGUAUAAUUUUUAAUCGGUCUAUCUGAAUGAGGUAUUUUUUGUAGCCAACUCUAAAUAUUUGUCCAAUUAUAUUAACAGCUCUAUGAGCUUGAACUAUUUAUACUGUUGUUGUCCUCAGAUUUUUCAUUAGUUGCAAGACAUCCUUUUGUUUGUCAAUUUCCUCCAAAUCUUUGUAUGGUUUGCAAUUGAAGUAUAAUCCAUGUCAAAGUAAUGCUACAAUGGUCAAUUGUGAUUUACUUGUUUAAUUUGAUUGCUAAAAAGUGAGUUAUCUAGGUUGGCAGGGGAAAUUAGAUAGGAUUAUUUCAAGAUGAUUUAUUUUAUCACAGGUCAUCCGAGUUAAAGCCCAUUGAUUUGAUUGAUUUUACCUUCGUUAACUCUAAAGCCUUUGAUUUAAAUCAACUUAACCCUCCUUAACUCUGAACCGGAUACAGUUUAAGAAAAGGCAAACUAUCAUUUCUUGGGUAAUUCUACAUUAUGGUUCCACAAAUUUAUUAAAAUCUUAUAUAUUUAAAUGUCAAAAUUUGUCAAAUGAUGGUGGUUUGCAUGGAUAUUCUUGGAUUCCUUGUUAAUCUUCUGUUAUUGCAUAAUUGAGAUGAUUGUGUUUCUGUUUGAGCAAAAUGAGACUUGCUGUACUAUUUUGUUUUAGUGCCCUUUGGAAGUCAUUUUGAUACUCAAAUUUUGACUUUCUGGGCUAUUUAUUGUACAUGGAAGUUAUUUGGAUCCUCAAGUGCACCCAUAAAUCAUGUUGGAUGGAUAUCUAUUCAUGAGGACUCAUCAAUCUCUCUAAAGAUCAAUUCUAUAUGUUACUGAUGAUUUGACAUUGAAAUUUUGCCUUUUUAUUUACAAAUCUUAUAAAAACAUCUAAUACUUUAAGUUCCACAACAUAAAAAAUAUUAUCUACUUAUAAUAUGUUAAAAUUUUAUUUUAUUCAUCUGUGUUUCUCCUUUUUCUUUCCAUAUUGGACACUUCCGAUGCACAUCAGAAUUUGAUAGUGUUUUCAUGCAGCUUUGCUUCUGGUGUACCAUUCUUGAAAUUCGUGUGCUUCUGUUUUCUAACUUAAUUGUUGUGUUUUAGUUCUUAUUGUAAGGUCAUUUUGUCGGUCAACUUUCUAUUUGCACUGGAUAUCAUUCUGCUCCUAUUUUUUUUGUUAUUGUACUUAUCUUUAAUUUAGUAUGUCAAAGGAAAUUGUCAGAUUAUUCCUGAGGCUGCAAUCAGGUGUAUUAGAAUGUUAUUUUGCACUGGAUAUCAUUGUACACUGCCUGUAUGUACUUUAUGUACUUUUCUCAUUGCCACACUUGUUGGACUUUCAUGAAUGCAAUGCAAACUGACGACAUUUCUCGAUGUUAAUACUGCUAUAUAUUUGGAUUUGAUAGGUUUUUCCUGCUUGGUUAAGCUGCUUACCGAUUAAAAAUGAUUUAAUUGAGGCCAAAAUUGUUCAUGAACAGCUUUGCUCAAUGCUUGAAAGGUAACUCCCUGAUUUGUGUGACUGGAAAUUAGAAUAUUUGAUCCAUCAUAGCUUCUAAUUCAUUUUUUGGUUUGGUAUUACACUGAAUAUUAACCACGAAUUCUCUCCACAGAUCGGAUAGGGAGCUCUUAGGACCAAACAACCAGAAUAUUCCUAAAAUAGUUUCUGUAUUUGCCGAGGUGAGCUAUUAGUUUCCCCCCUUUCAUUUCUGUGGUAAAGUGAUUUAUAUUCUCCCACUAGUUCUAAAAUAUAAUUGUGAAGCGAUUGUUAUCAAUGGCAUUAUGAAGCUCAACCUAGUAUGCUUUUAUCAUGACAGAAACUUUAUUGAUAGUCAAAUUUUAUCCUGUCUUCCGUCUAGUAGCAGUACGGGGUUUUGCACAGUGUUUUUAGCAUCACAGAACCUUUGAUGAUACAAAAAUUUUAACCCAUUUUCAUGUUGGGUAGUGGUAUGAAGUUUUUCUGCUGUGCUUGUAGCAUGAUUGAGCCUUCGUUGGUACUCCAAAAAUCUUUUGAUCUUUGUCGAAGUUGCAGUGUUUACCAGGAUGAUUUUACAUGAUACCUAGGACGUUAACCCUUAUCUGAAAUAGAUUUAUUUUAGCUAGGAGAGAAAUGCAUACUCUUUUUGUAAAAUUUAAUGAUUUUACAUGUCCUUGGCUACUUGCUGUCGGCUGUUGCACUUGAAAACCUUCCUAGCCCUAUCAAUAGUAACAAAAUGUCAGAUUGGUUUUUCGGCAAUAGCUAUUUUGCCAUGUAGUCUUUUGGAUACCGUCUGAUGGUUGUACUACUUUUAGUGGCAAUUUGAUGUUUGUUUGAUUGUCACCUGAGAUAGUGAAUUCUUUUGUUUUUUCGUCUAGGUUUUGUGUGCAGGAAAUGAUCUGGCCACAGAACAAACUGUUAGCCGGAUGAUCAGUCUCUUGAGGCAGAUUCAACAGACAUUGCCACCGUCUGUCCUCGCCUCAACCUGGUCUACGUUGCAGCCUCAGCAGCAACUCGCGCUGCAGUCUAUACUAUCUUCGUAACCCUUCCGGUGUCGCCAUGGGGAAACUGUUCUUUCUUAUGGUUUGUGUGCCUUCCUACUUUACAUCAUUAUUGCUUUUGCUUUUCAUUCUUUAUGUCUAUUCAUCAAGUUGAAUCAAGUGUGAGGGCAUUGUUCGAUCGAGUUUUAUUUAAGUUUCAAGAGAAUUUUGCAAUUUUGGUGGGGUGAUGUAUAAAAUCAACAGCUGGAAUACAUGUUUGUCAUCUGAGGUGUACAUUGUGAAGGGUGAAGAAAGAUUCUCUUCUGUUGAAUCUUACCGGUUAUAGUGGAAGGAUUGGUCAAAACGGUCUGCUGCAGUUAUAAUGAUUGUAAUGUUCAUGGAGUAAUUGAUUUCUGGUCAAGUGUCAUGAUGCCAGUCUUUUGGGUGAUGGUUAGUGUGAUCCCUGUAAUGUUCUCUCAUCGCAGUCUCUUGGAAUUAUUCUCACCAUUGAUGAGUAGCUCUACUCUAGUGCUUGCGUUUCCUUGACUUGUUGAUCCCUUUGGUCUCUGCCCUAAUAUUGCAGAUGUGUUAGGAUUUCUGUUCUAUCAUGCGCAUGAAAUUGAAAGAAUAAUAAAUAAUUACUACAUUAAAAGUUUCAUCAAAAAGAUAUAAAAGGCAUCACAAGUCUCAAAUAACAAAAAUAAAAAAUGGUGAAAUUGCUUUUAUUAUCUCAAGUUCACAAUGCUAUUGUCUGUAAAAACUUAAAUCCUUGGAUGAGAUAUGAGUUUUCUUUUUGUAUAAUAAUUUUAAUAUUAUACAAUUUGUAUUUUAUUAUCAAAUAAUAUUGCCUUUGACUUCUGGAAGAAUCCAUCUCGGCUUAGGUCAUCUCGGCUAGAACCGGCCUGUUAAGCCGGCCUUUUUGACUCGCGGCCCAGAGUCUGAAGCCCUCGGUCGAUGGCCCCUAUAAAUAAAACCUGACUAGGGUUGUUCUUGUUCUGCUUUCUCCCGCGGCCGCCUUCGCUUACCCAUCGCCCCCUACGCGAGAGAGAUCGUAGGUGCGUGCGAUUACUUCCGAGUCCCCAGUUCUUUUUUCGCUUGUUAUCGAUUUAUCAGUGGAUGUUGUGAUGUCCUGGUAGUUUGUAAUAUGUCAUCCAGCAAUACUGAUUGUCGGUUCUCUCAGUCUUCUAUCGAAUUUUUUCGAUUUGUGGAGGACUUGUACGCCAAUUAAUUUCUUGUAGCGCAUGAUUUGCAUGUUUAGUUGGUUACGAUGAUCUGAGUCUUAAAUAAGCUUCGAGUAAAGUGAGUUGUUUGUUUCUUGAUAUGAUUUGCAUCUUUAGUUGUUUACUUCUUUGAUGUUGUGGUCUAAUGGGCAGUUGUGCUGUUGUUUGAUAUAUACAUGAAUUUAAAUCUCGAUCUCGUACUGGUUGACUAGUUAGAAUCAUUGGCUUGAUGUGCUUCAUGCUUAAGUUAAUCGAAGUGUCUGUAAUUUUUCCCAUGUAAGAAGAGGUUGACCACUUGACAGUCUGUUUCAAGCACCUUAAAAAGAGAGCACACAGCUAUUUGUCUUAAUUUGGUUUUGGCUUAAACAGGAUUAAGCUGGUGGUUAUUGGUUUGAUUACUCAAAGGGCUAAUUUUACCUAAUUAGAAUAGUUAACCUGGAUAAUUACUUGUCCUGGAGAGCGGGUUAGAGUAGCUCACUCUCGUUUUCUUUGUUGAUCUAAUAAUUGAGUUAGCUAGCUAGCUAAGUGACCAAACUAAAGAAAAGUUGAGGCUAGUUAACCGAGUUACGUGUUCUUUACAAAUGAUUAAUUAAAACUUGUUUUCUUUGAUCGAUCAGAACUCAAGCCCUUAACAGUCCGAUGCACUCUAAGUGGACAUAACUAUGAUGCCUUGUUUAAUUUUGCUCUGCCUCCACCGUAAGCCAACCACACCCUCAUCAUAGGUUAUGUAUUCUACUGAGUUAAUUUUCAUCACGUAAACUAGUGGGUUUUAAUUUAUUUCAUUCAGUACAGAUUUCACUACUUAAUCAAAAUAUAUCAUAGAGGUCAUCGUAUAUACACUGUCAGAACAACUAGCACAAGGAUGGUGUUCUGCAAGUUGCCAUGUAAUAUGAUAACUUACAUCACUUUCCAUUUAUGGCAAUGAGAAACUUGGUUGACACACUGCACUUCAAAUGGUGGCACACUCUUCAUGCUUCUUUUCUUGUAAUUUCGUUUUCAUUGUCGUGCCAUUAUUUGGUUCUUUGUUUUCUUUGGAAGUGGGAAUUAUGAUGAGCAGUCUUAUCUGAUUGCACUGCAUACCGAUAUGAACAGCAUGGAUACUCAAGCUAAGCUUGCAGUUGUGGUGAAGGUGAUGGGCCGCACUGGAUCUAGAGGUCAGGUUACCCAGGUUAGGGUUAAGUUUUUGGAUGACCAAAACCGGCUGAUCAUGAGGAACGUAAAGGGCCCCGUGAGGGAAGGUGAUAUCCUUACCCUUCUUGAAUCUGAAAGGGAGGCUAGGAGAUUGCGCUGAUAAUAGUAAUUAUUAUUAUGAUACUCUAUGGUCUUUCUUGCCUACUUCAGUAGUCUAUUUCUAUUUGUCUACAAACCUGUAUUAUCGGCUCAGUGGGUUUUGUUCAUUUUUUUUGUCGCAUGGAUUGUGUUGAAAAAUUGAGAAACUGCUCUAUGUUCUGUUUUGGUAUGAACCCAUAAUAUUUUAAUUCGCUGUGGUGUUUGUGUCUGGUCUUAAUUAAUUGCAUGUACUCCAUCAAAAAUGUUUUCUCUUGGAAUGAGCCGUGGAUUGAGCAUGGAUGUCAAUUUGUUCCUCUCAGAUGAACAUUUCAGCUCCUAUGUUUUCUUUGAAUUACCUAAUGCUUCUGAAAUUGCACCAACACCUUGAGCAUGAACGUGAUGUGUAUAUAUUAUCCAGAUUGAUUCUUGCAACACUAGAAACUCCAAAUUUAAAAUAUAAUAUAGCCUCUCAAAAUAAUUGCAUUUGUUCCUCAUUUUUACUGACUGGCAUAGCUGGAUUAAAUCUACUAUUAUGGCUGUUAAAGUUGAAAUAUUGUUGCAGAUAAUGGUUUUAGUAAGAUCUCUGCUUUAAUUGGUAAUGAUUUGUUGAUGAUUUUGCCAAAUGCACUAAUAGCUAGUGAAAUAUAUGGAUUUUGUUUAGGAGGGGCUAUGUGGGAAAAAAAAAUCAUCUGAACCACAACAUUUGUAUCAUGCAAUCACAUGGUAAAAAUCCAGACAUUCAAAAUUGCAUUUGCUUGUAACUUCACCUGCAUUUAUUUAUUGUUUAAAGAAUAUAUAGAGCCAAACACUACAUGUAUAAAUUCAUGUAUACAAAGAAUAUACAUGAAAAACUAAAACAAAACUGAUCACAAAAACCAAAGCAUUUCAAAGAUUCAUCAUCAUCAGUGCCAUACCUGAGACAUCAUCUCCACACACUCACUGCAACCUUCAAAUGUUCCAUCUAGUUUAUUUGAUCUGAUGAUUGUCACCUCUUUUCUUCUUAUUGUUCUUAUUGUAAUGAUAGGUUGAUUUAGUACCAUGUCCACCUGGAAUGCAUUAUUGGCUUUAGGUAACAUGUUUUACCAUGAGAAAUUUGGGGACUGCUGCCUUGAACUCUUCCAUUUUCGAUUCACUGCCAUAGCAUUUUCUUCAUAUCUGAGACUUUAUAUCCUAUGGCAUUUCCAUCGUAUCUGGGACUUUAUAUCCCUACUUGUCCAUUGAGACUUUUACAUGAUUUCAUGUGUGAAUGCAAUUUCUGCGGCUUAAAUGUCUUCCCACAUUGCCUGCUCGACAAAUUUGCAACCAAUUAAACCAAUCAUUAGUGAAAUGGAUUCGAGCAUAAAGUAAUUAAUUGCAUUUGCACUUCCAUCGAACCAUGAGCAAGUGGUGAUUUAUAGUAACCGGAUAUUAUGAAAUCUCUAUGGGCUGAUUAUAAAUUACCUUCCAAAUAUAAACGUUCUCAGUAUUCUGGUCCCAGAUUUAAAAAGAUUUAAAAAAAUUUACAAUAGAAUUUCUAUAGUUAUGAAAAUGAAGUUUACUCUAACAUUGUUAGUUUAACCGAUAAAAAUAUAAAAAUAAUAGAUAAAAAAGAUAAUUUCUAAUAUUUCAGUUGAUGAUAGCGGUUGAUGUUGGAGGUUAUAGAUGGUUGUUGUGGAUUAGGAGAAUGAGGACGAGAGAUGAGAGUCGUUCUACGUCGGUGUCGAUGUAGUUGUUGAGCGACAAAAGGAUCGCUCGAUAUCGACAGUCCUUUCGUCACUCAUUGCAUUGACGUCGACGCAAUUGUAGAGCGAUGUCGCUCUGCAUAUAUACAUCGACAUCGAUGCAAAUGCUGAGUAGUCCUUUCAUCGCUCAACAACUACGUUGACGCAGUGAGCGAUCUUUUUGUCACUCUGCAUCGACGUCGACAUAGUUGCCAAGCAGCGAUUUGCAUUGGCGUCAAUGCAAUUGCUGAGUGACGUCGCUUUGCAUUUGCAUCGGUGUUGAUGUAGUGACCGACCCUUUUGCCACUCGACAAUUGCAUCAACGCAAACGCAGUGAGCGUCCUUUUCGUCGCUUUGCAUUUACGUCAACGUAGUUGUCGAGUGAUGAAAGGGUUGCUCGGCAUCUACAUCGGUGAUCCUUUUGUCGCUCGACAACCGCGUCGAUGCAGAUGUAAAGAGGCGAAAGGAUCACUCAGCAAUUGUAUCGACGUUGACAUAAAUGCAAAGUGGCUCUCAUCUCUCAUCGUUGCUCUCCUCAUCCUCAACAGUCACUUGCGACCUCUAGCAAUGUCGUCAUUCAUCACCACUGACGUCGUCCGUCACAACCAAUGAGAAUAUUAAAAUUAUUUUUAUUUAUUUAUUUAUUAUAUUUUUAUCUAUAAAACCUAUGAUAUUAGGGUAAAUGGACUUAGAUGUUUUACUUUUAUAAUUAUAACAAUUCUAAUAUAAAUUUUUUAAGUCUAAUGAUCGAAAUACUAAAAAAGUUAGGGGUAAUAUUUAAUUAGCCUAAUAUGUAUCCAACUUUGGGACGUCCUAUUUAAUGGCAUAAUUUUGACUGCUAUUUCAGAUAUCAAUCACUAUUGCAGCAAUACCUAUGAAUAAAGAGUGAAUAAAACUUGGAUUCGUGUCUUCACGUAGUCGGACUGUGACCCGUGUGUUUCUCAACCAACUACGACUCGAUCCGAGUCACACGAGCCACGAAUUAAGAGACGAAGAGUGUGACUUACGAGCAAGUGGGUGUCGCCGCCGGCGUGUUAACCGGGGCGGCUUCCUGCUUCCCCGCCUUCCGCCACCUCCUCCCCCCGCCGCUCCUCGUCCUCCCUUCCCUGCCAAUUCCAACUCUUCAGCACACAGCAGCAAGGCCUGUAAAUGCAAAGCAGAUGACUCCUAAUGGCACCGACGCGAUCACCUUGAACCCUCACUGUCACCGCCGCGGCCACCGCCGGACCGCUCCUCUCCCUCUCGGCUUAUCGGCCGCAGGGCCCCGUCGUCGGUCUGAUCCGCGGUCUUGCACCGGAGGAUGUUACGUAGCGCCUGCGUCGCUCGCUUCGAGCAGUUGUUGCUGUCGCUGCUGCUGUCCAUUAUCGAUGCCCCUCUCUCCUCCUCCUUCUCCUCGUUCGGCUUCUCCUUCGCCUCCACCUUCGACGCGUCGAUCUCGGGUGCCGCUUUCUGCUGUGUUGGCGAUGGCGGCAACACCAGUAGAGUGUCGGCGUCAGAUGAGGCCGCCACUUUGGGUGGUUCCUCAUCGACCGCCGACGUCGACGCCGGCAUCAUCACCUGGUCAUCGGUGAAAGCAAACGAUGCACAUGAAGUCAGAGGAGAUGAGUGGGUAACAGAAGGUGGGGUUCUGUGCUGCACCUGUUUGCUGGGGGUGGAGACGGGAGGAUCCGUGGCGAGCUCGGAUCCUUUGAGCACGUAUUCGGCGUCGGCGAAGGGCGUGAUGGGGUCGUCGUCCAUCAGGUCCUGCCAUAUGUAUCCGCCUCGAUACCGUCUGAGAAAUCACACCCAUGUAAUCAUGGCACGAAUAGCAACGAACGAAGAGGAUGAGACGAUGGAGUAGAUCACCUUUUGUAGGACCAGGCGAAGGAGUCGGCCAUGUCCUUCCCUCUGAACUCCGACAGCCAUCUCUUCACAUCUGGCAGAUCGAGCACGCGCAGGAAAUAGUUGGGAAACAGCCGAAGAGAUACGAGGAGAUAGAUCAAAGAGGCGCAAGCAAAGGGGAAGCACAGUACCGCGAAGGUAAACGUGGUCUCGACGACGGCGAUGGAUGCGGAGGAGGUGCGGGUGUUCCACCCGGCCAUUCCGGCUGAGGAAGUACACCACGUUCACUCUCCUCAUCUCUCCUCCUCCUGCUGCAUUGGGUACCUCCACGGGCGUCAUGGCGCAUGCAAGUAAGUAUCAGGGAUUGCUGCAUCAACCACCUAUUCAACUCAGUCGAGGCUUCCAUCGUCACCGAGCAUACGUGAGUUUUAUAUAAGAAGGAUUGCAGGACUGGCAAUAGGAAUAUUUUAAGGUUUAAUCGUCGUUAAUACUCGUGGAAAAGUAAAUAAGAAUAGUUAUUGCUAUUACCAUAAAACAAUUCCUUCGCCCAAACAAAAAAUAGUAUGCAUUAACCCCCCACAUUAUUACGGAUCCCUUCGUCGUGGUGUUGAUAUAUACGUAAGAAUGGAACUCUGGCAGAUGCAUAAGGGUUUGGUAUAUAGUUGCCAACAUGACACACAAUCUCCAGAAAUAGAUGCAUAUUAUUUACUCUUUCCUAUCCAUCAGAAUAUAUGUUUGCAAGCUGUUUUUGGUCAGAAAUGUAGACAUCUAACUCAUUAGUGUGAUGCGGAAGACAACUCAUGACUGGUCAGCUUAUAAAAGGUCUUACCACAUAAUAUAUAUAUCCCUAUAAGAAACACACAACAUUAUUUAAUUAAUGAUUUCAGAUAUUGGUGAAUGGAGUGAAAGUAAGUAAUAAUAAUACCAACAACAACAAUACAAUACAAUAAUGCAAUAAUGAAAUAGCUGCAAAAUGAGGUCAACUUAGAAUGCUGUCAGAAUAUAGUUGAAAAGGAAAUAGAGGCGAUGAGCACAUCGGUGUUGGGUGUGUUUGUUAGCUCUCAAGGCAACGAAAGGCUAAGUUUACUGCCAAAACGAACCACAACCACAGCACGAAAGGAAAAGCCAACACAGAUGCCAAGUUUACAUGAUCUUAUUUGCGGGCUAAUUAUAGAUCAUCCUUUAGGGUUAGUCCUUCUUCACAUCUUAAUAUUUAUACUUUAAAAAUUUAUAUCGAAAUUGUUAUAGUUAUGAAAAUAAAAUAUCUAUAUUCAUUUACCAUAACAUCGUUGGUUUUAUAGAUGAAAAUAUAAAGAUAAAAGAUGAAAAGAUAAUUUCAAUAUUUCAAUUGAUGAUAGUGAACAACGUCGGUGAUAACAAAUGACGACAUCACUAGGGGCUGCGGAUGAUUACUAUGGUGACGAGAGAUGAGGACCACUCUAUAUUUGCAUUGAUGAUCUUUUCGUUGCUCGGUAAUUGCGUCGACAUCAACACAGUGAGUAGCUCUUUUAUUGAUCUACAUCUAUAUCGACAUCGAUACAGUUGUCAAGUGACAUCAUUGUGUAUCUGUAUUAGUAUUAAUACAGUUGCUGAGCGACCCUCAUCCAUCACCAUUGUUCUUCUCAUCCAUAGCAGUCACCCGCGGCCCCUAAUAAUGUUGCAAUCCACCACCACUGACAUUGUCUGUCACUACCGAUUAGAACAUUAAAAUUAUUUUUUUAUCUAUUAUUUUUAUAUUUUCAUCGAUAAAAUCGACAACGAUAGAAUAAAUAGAUAUAGAUAUUUUAUUUUCAUAAUUAUAGAUAUUUCAAUAUAAAUAUUUUAAAUCUAAAAAUAAAAAAAAACUAAAGAGAUCUAACUACGAAGGAUAAUAUAUAAUUAACCCUGUUAUUUGUUAUGUGAUUACCGGAGGGUAGAAAGUGAACAUCAAUAUUUUUUCUAUUCCGAAGAUUUCAUUAUGAAAAGUUAUCAAAGAUUGUCACUAAAUAACUAUCAAGAUUUGACUUCCAAGAAUUUGUUGCCUCUUAUGAAGGCUUUGCGUGAUGGCCAACUCUGAAUGUCAACCUUUCAGUGUUGUCUUUUUAUAUAGAUUGGAGUACAAGACUUGGCAAUUGUACAAUACACCAAUCCAUCAAAUACCUUUUCAUAAGAAACUUGGGGUGAAAAAGGAGAAAUAGAACAAAAUAAAACAUUCAGCUUCCAAGAGAACGACGGGAGCUCAGCUUCUUGAGUCCUUAGAUUAGGGAAGCUGAUGGGAAGCAGUCAACGCAAAUAUGACUUCCAAAGCCAGCCUUAACUCAGGACAAGAGAAUUGUUGCAUGAGGUGUUGACCUCACUUUCAUCUUUGGCAUUGCACAAAGGACAAGAACAAGCAUUCGAUGUUUGGUAGUGCCUCUUUCCUUGAAUGGCUCGAGGAUGGGUUUAUAGAUGAAAGAAGGGGAGGAAGUAUUUAACCAUUAAAUACUUUAUGUUGAGUGUAAAUUGUGUUAAGUUUAAAUCAAUAGUAAUAAACUCAUGUAAUUUUUUUUAAGAUAUUAAAUUAGAGUGUAACAAUGGCAUAUUGCAUGCGAAGCUAAGUCGAUAGGACUUUCACAUUAUCAUAUGUAUUCAAUCACAUCCAUCAUAUCUCUUUUCUAUUUGAAUCCUUAUGUUAUGUUUAAUGUAAUGUUUGUAUCAUUUGUUAUGAUACGAUCUAAUAGAAUAAUUAAAUCAUUAUCUUAAUAAACCUAAACCAUCGAUCAAGGCAUUUAAGCUCAAAAUAAUAGUAUCAGAUCGCCCUAUCGCUAUAAACUAAUUCAAAUGUUCAUUCAAAUAUUACUUAUCAAUUCAACAUCUAAUUCGACACUUGUAUCCUAUGGAUGAGACAGGUAGCUAAUUAUCGUAUCAUGUCAUAUUGUGGUAAAUGAUAUGUGAUCAAAUUUAUUAUUAUAUAUUAUAUCUAAUUUUCUCGGCUUAUUAAUAGAUGUAAUGCUACAUAUUUUUAUUUACAAUAAGUAUUAUCUUAUAAAUAACACACGAAUAAAACUUGUAGAUGCGAUUAUUAGACCACAAUAAAAAAGAUAAAACUUUUACUUACGAUUACGAAAACUAUAGUAUUAUAUGAACUUUUAUCUUCUAUAUUUAGACCUUAUUAAUAUUAUUGUUCAUGUAUUUAAAAAAUUUAUAUUAGGAUCCUUAUAGUUCUAGAAAUAAAAUAGAUAAUCUUAUUUUUUCUAACGUCAUGAAAGAGAUAGCAUGUGAUAUCACAUGCUCGACUAAUGCGAAAUUGAUAAGUAAAAAAUAAUAAUUUUAAUAUAUUUUUAUUUUUUUGUUUUGCCUAAAUUAAAAUAUAAUUUUAACAUAGCAAUAACUACUUGUAGACCCUGCCAUCUUUAUCUCUACCCAUACUAGUCUAUUAUGUUCUUUGUUCCGACAAUCACAAAAGAGAUUUAUUUAUCUUUAUAGGAUUUUGGCAUAAAAUAUGAUUUUGUGUAAUAACAUUACUCAAAAUGUUGUCUCCUCUUAAAAGCAAUCAUACUAAAACCACACAAAUAAUACUCACAUAAAUGAAAUAUAAUAAUUUGUCAUAUAACCUAUCACGAUAGGACAUUUUCAAAUAACCAUCAUAAUUAAGCAUAUAAGUUAUAGCUAUUGAUCGGACAGGAAGCAAUAGCAUACUCUUGUCCCGAUGGCGAUAGCAGCGAUCAUUACAUGGCGAAUGAAGUUACGACUAAAGCUCAAGAAAGUGUUGGAAUUAGAGGCGAGGGCAAAAAUGAAAAGAGUCAUGACAUAAGAAGCAUUGGGGAGGAAGGGGAGCCGAGCGACGAAGGUCGAUGCAAACGGUGAUAUAGAGAUAUUGAAAUAUCUUCUUUUUUUUUUCAUCUAAUUUGUACUAAUGCAAUAUAUAAUAUCACGUAUUAUAUCUUUUAAUAGUGUAACUGAUGAUGAUGUUAGGAAAAAUAAAAUUAUUUAUUUCGGUUUUAAAUUUAUGAAAAAUACUAAUAUCAAUUUUAUAAAUGAGAUUAUGGCACAUCAUCACUUAUGGGGCUAAACAGAGUCUACCAACAAAGAUUAUCACUAUAUAAGGAGGACAUUUUGCGAUUGACGACAUGCGAUCAUCGUAAGUACGUCCUCAUUGUUGUCAUGUAUGAUUCCAUCUUUACGCAGGUGCAUGAUGAGAAUGAAGUCAUGGCUAGUAAUGAUAGAUGGAUCAAGAACAGUGCUGCAACCACAUAAGCCUCUUCCCUCGCUCCUCCUCCAAUGCUUCCAUCGCACUCUUUGGCAUGAAGCCAAAGGAGGCCGGUAGGAGCACAGCCGCUGAUCUCUCAGUCUUAACCAUGCAAGUUGACGUUCCACCCUUCCCUCAACUUACCUUCUUCUCUCUCUCUCUCUCUCUCUCGCUCUCGCCAACCAUGGCGACGCGUUCCGAUCCGAGCAAGCAACGCCGCAUCGAUCCGAGCAUGUCCAGGAGAACAAGGAAGGCCAUCGAGGUCUUUCAGGAAGAGCCGCAGCCGGAGGAAGCCACUGAUGGCUUUCGACGCAUGUCUUUGCAGGAACUGAUGUCACAAGGUGCAGGCCGAGGCAUUAAUGGUGCUGCUGCUGUUCGUAAGCUCAUGACGAAUGCAUCAAGAGAUCAGGAGGAUGCAGCGGCCGCAACAAGUAACGAUGAGUGGGAGAAGACCCUCCCCAUCGUUCCAAAGCAAGGAGGAGUAAGAGCUCAUGGGAUUCUGAACAGGUACGUGAAGGUUCUCAACAAUCUGAUCAAGGCGAGAUCCAACUCCAAGGAGAAAGCAAGGUCUCAGUGAGGCUUUUGAAAUAUAUAUAUGUGCAAUAACAAUGUAUAUAUGUGGCUCAUUUCUAUGUGCUUGUAGACCUAUAUAUAUAUAUAUAUAUAUAUAUAUGUGCAAUAACAAUGUAUAUAUGUGGCUCAUUUCUAUGUGCUUGUAGACCAAGUCAUCCGCCAUCCAUUGUCCGAAUCCACCUCCACCACCAUUACAUCUUCAUCCACUAUUUAAGGGCUCCUCUCUUCUCUUGUCAUUCUCUCAUCUUCUUCUUCUACCUCCCUCCCUCUCCACCGUGGCAAGCGGUCUCCGUGCGCUUUGCAUCUUCUCGGCCUUCCUCAGCCUCAUCGGCUGCUGCAUCUCCACCGCCAACGUCGUCGUGGAAGGCCGCGCCGCGUGUACUGCGACACUUGCCGUGCUGGCUUCGAGACCAACGCCACCGAGUACAUCGAGGGUGCCAAUUAGGUGAGGUUAGAAUGCAGGAAUUACACCACCGGCGAGGUCGUCCACACGGAGGAGGCGGUGACGGACAAGGCCGGCACGUACCAGGUCGCCGUCCUCGACGACCACCAAGAAGAUACCUGCGAGAUGAUUCUGGUGAACGGCCCCCGGGCCGACUUCUCCGAGAUCACUACGCCUCUGUCGUCGCCACUAACAGCGUCGGGAUCGCCAGCAACGUGCGCCAAGGACAAGCCGCUCGCCUCCUGUGGCCAGUUGCUCAUGCAGAACGCGCUCUGGGCGUUGACGAGUGAGAGAGGCGUCGACUACGAAGCACUAACCACUAAGUAUAUAUAUGAAUCAUUUAGCAGUCCUUUUUUCCUCUUUUUGGUUGGUAAUUCUCAGCUAAUUUUGAUCCCAGAAAAAAGAACUUACUGUCUCGAUCUCAUCGGUCAUAAUGAAUUGAUCUUUUGUGCAUGUAAUAGACAGACCCAUAUAAUCUGCGCCUUUUUUUGGUUGGUGCCGCACCUAACUGACUUCUCAUUGGAGACGGACGCGGGGCCCAUGGUGGGUCCCACGGAAGCGUAACGAGGACAGGUCUUAAGCCAGGCUUCAGCGUACGCACUUCUCGUCGAGUAAUCUUCGCGAUUCCAAUGUACGGACAACAGCCGCGGGGGAGCGAAUCGCGGGAUCCUCUCCUGGUGUUUCGCUGAACCUUGCACGAUCGGACCGCUCAUGUCGA
rnacentral:lncRNA from 1 species